ACAGCAGCAGCCGCGGUAAUACGUAGGUGGCAAGCGUUAUCCGGAAUUAUUGGGCGUAAAGCGCGCGUAGGCGGUUUUUUAAGUCUGAUGUGAAAGCCCACGGCUCAACCGUGGAGGGUCAUCGGAAACUGGAAAACUUGAGUGCAGAAGAGGAAAGUGGAAUUCCAUGUGUAGCGGUGAAAUGCGCAGAGAUAUGGAGGAACACCAGUGGCGAAGGCGACUUUCUGGUCUGUGACUGACGCUGAUGUGCGAAAGCGUGGGGAUCAAACAGGAUUAGAUACCCCCGUAGUCCCUGUCUCUUAUAC
rnacentral:rRNA from 1 species